rnacentral:rRNA from 1 species
GGGAAACCGGAGCUAAUACCGGAUAAUAUAUUGAACCGCAUGGUUCAAUAGUGAAAGACGGUUUUGCUGUCACUUAUAGAUGGAUCCGCGCCGCAUUAGCUAGCUGGUAAGGUAACGGCUUACCAAGGCGACGAUGCGUAGCCGACCUGAGAGGGUGAUCGGCCACACUGGAACUGAGACACGGUCCAG